rnacentral:lncRNA from 1 species
AUGUUUACAUAAGGGAUUAUAGAGGUUUGUGGGAGAGUGGACCGCUGUAGCUAUGGCGGAGAUGAUGAUGGAGGUGUUGGUGAAGGCGGCAUCAUGGCGGAGAGGAUGGAGAAGGGGCAGCACGUGAGGUGCAGGGCGGCGCCGGCGGCGCACGAGGCUCCUCCUGCGCCGGCCUGCCAUCACGGGGGAGCGCCGCCCAUUAGCCCCCUUCCUCCAUGUCUUCUUGGUGCUGUAGAUGAGCCCUCCCCCAUGGAGAUCAGGCUAUGGGGGAGGCAAAAUUCGUG